rnacentral:rRNA from 1 species
CACGGGGGUUGCGAGCGUUGUCCGGAAUUACUAGGCGUAAAGGGCAGGCAGGCGGAUCCAUAAGUUUAUCGUUUAAGGCGUCGGCUUAACCGGCGUAGGGCGGUAGAUACUGUGGAUCUGGAAUGCGGUUGGGGAAGACAGAAUUCCUGGUGUAGCGGUGGAAUGCGCAGAGGUCAGGAGGAAUACCGAAGGCGAAGGCAGUCUUCCAAGCCGUUAUGACGCUCAACUGCGAAGGUGUGGGUAGCAAACAGGAUUAGAUACCCGGGUAGUCCCUGAGCGGG